AUUGAACGCUGGCGGCAGGCCUAACACAUGCAAGUCGAACGGUAACAGGAAGCAGCUUGCUGCUUUGCUGUCGCGUGGCGGACGGGUGUGACAUGUCUGGGACACUGCUCGAUGGAGGGGGUUACCUACUGGAAACGGUAGCUAAUACCGCAUAACGUCGCAAGCCCAAAGAGGGGGACCUUAGGGCCUCUUGCCAUCGGAUGUGCCCAGAUGGGAUUAGCUAGUAGGUGGGGUAACGGCUCACCUAGGCGACGAUCCCUAGCUGGUCUGAGAGGAUGACCAGCCACACUGGAACUGAGACACGGUCCAGACUCCUACGGGAGGCAGCAGUGGGGAAUAUUGCACAAUGGGCGCAAGCCUGAUGCAGCCACGCCGCGUGUAUGAAGAAGGCCUUCGGGUUGUAAAGUACUUUCAGCGGGGAGGAAGGGAGUAAAGUUAAUACCUUUGCUCAUUGACGUUACCCGCAGAAGAAGCACCGGCUAACUCCGUG
rnacentral:rRNA from 1 species